rnacentral:rRNA from 1 species
AUUGAACGCUGGCGGCAUGCUUUACACAUGCAAGUCGAACGGCAGCGUGGGCUUCGGCCUGGCGGCGAGUGGCGAACGGGUGAGUAAUACAUCGGAACGUGCCCAGUAGUGGGGGAUAGCUCGGCGAAAGCCGGAUUAAUACCGCAUACGACCUGAGGGUGAAAGCGGGGGAUCUUCGGACCUCGCGCUAUUGGAGCGGCCGAUGGCAGAUUAGCUAGUUGGUGGGGUAAAGGCCUACCAAGGCGACGAUCUGUAGCUGGUCUGAGAGGACGACCAGCCACACUGGGACUGAGACACGGCCCAGACUCCUACGUGAGGCAGCAGUGGGGAAUUUUGGACAAUGGGCGAAAGCCUGAUCCAGCAAUGCCGCGUGUGUGAUGAAGGCCUUCGGGUUGUAAAGCACUUUUGGCGGGAACGAAAAGGACUGUGCCAAUACCACGGUUCGAUGACGGUACCCGCAGAAUAAGCACCGGCUAACUACGUG